GUGCAGCAGGCGAGAAACUUCACAAUGUGCGAAAGCACGAUGAGGGAAUCCCAAGUGCUUGCACGUAAGUGUAAGCUGUUUCUCUGUCUAAAACGCAGAGAGAGUAAGGGCUGGGUAAGACGGGUGCCAGCCGCCGCGGUAAUACCUGCAGCUCGAGUGGUGACCGUUAUUAUUGGGCCUAAAACGUCCGUAGCCGGUUUAAUAAAUGCCUGGGUAAAUCGGACCGCUUAACGGUUCGAAUUCCGGGUAGACUGUUAAACUUGAGACCGGGAGAAGUUAGAGGUACUCCUGGGGUAGAGGUGAAAUUCUGUAAUCCUAGGGGGACCACCAGUGGCGAAGGCGUCUAACUAGAACGGGUCUGACGGUGAGGGACGAAGCCCUGGGGCGCAAAC
rnacentral:rRNA from 1 species